UUUCAGCCACUAUGCAGUCUCCCUUUAGAGAAGACUGUUAUUCUCCAUGUGGAUGUGAUGAUGAUGAUGAUGAUGAUAAUGGCGACCAUGAUGAUCCUAAUGACAUUCCUUUCACAGUAACCAUCUCUUUUAACCGGGCCACAAAUCGGAGGAGCUUCAAAACCUGCUGCUUCUGGUCCAGUAGGUCUAGCGAAAGCCCAGGAAGCUUUCUAUUUUCAAAGCUUCAUUUAUUAUUUGUUUAAAGCUUUAGCUUUCUAAAAAGCAGCACAUGUGGAGAAGGGGAAUGUGUUUGAGGCAGGUGGUACUGGGAGAGAAGAUGAGACUCCCAAGGACCCGGGCGGAGCAGGAGGGCAGGGUUCCUCUGGGUUUUCUCUCUUUUUUCCCUGUGCUGUCUCCGUGAAGAGCAUGUCUGGGGCCCACUGCAUCCCAAGUUAUGCCACGUCCUUGGGUGUCCUCUGUGAAGUCUCAAUAUUUGACAAGCGGCCCUCUUGCUCUCCUUCUCAGCUUCUUGGACGAGCCUGGAGAAGUCCAACCACGAAGAUAUUUUCCUUUGACACCUACGGGUACCAAACACUCCCUCUGGAGCCGGGCUGUGUGCCCUGGAUGUGGUGCCUGGAGCCUCUCGGAGCAGACUCUUGGGCCAAUGGUUAUUGGACUUGCCCAAGGUCCCUCAGCUGGCCAGGGUUCAAACCUACUCCUGCCUCCCAUAUCGGCUGAAUCCAGCACUGGGAAGCACCAGCACGAGGAGAGUCGCAGGGAGGAGGCAGAGUGAGCCCAGGUAUCAGUGCCCUGGCUCGUCCUGUAUGUCCAUAAUAAUAAGGCUUCAUCCUACAUCAGAUCCUGAACUUCAGAUUUCUCCAAGAUUCGUCCUUUUACAUAGUAGAAGUGUCCUUACAAUAUUUGCUGUCCUUACUCAAGUUAACCUGUCUCUGUGCCUUGGAGCAAAAUGAAUGUAAUAAACCAGUUCAUGUUUUACCAAUAGGAAAUUGAAAGCCAAGAUACCCACAGAGAUUUCACGAAAGUCAGAGGUCUUGUCAAACCUGCCCUUCUUGGGCAGGCCUUUUGGCCCAGUAUGAUACCUGUGGUGUCAACUUGAAUAAUAAAGGCCUUGCUGAUUGGUUCCAUACAGUGCUGGCUGUGUCUGGAUCAUCAACUUACUGAAGAGGGAAGACCCCUUUCCACUUUGGGAGCCACCAACGGAUAGGGCUGUAUCCUGGAUGGAAUAAAAAGGGAAAGAAGAAGGAAGUCUCACUUUUGUUUCUUCAGAGGAACACCCGUCUUUGUCACUAUGGACGUCCAUCUCCAGCCUUCCAGUGCAUGCUCUGCAACCUCCCUGGAUGGACCUUUUGGCUCCCUGAUACAGAUUCACACAGAACUCUGUAUGAACGCCAGGCCUUCCACUUUUGCUUAGAUUCUUCAGCUCUCCAGUGUGCAGACAACCCUUCUGCGUUCUACCACACCUGACCCUCCAGGAGACCACUGAAAGCCUACCUUGUGAAUCCUAUAUACCUGGGAUCUUCCUGUGCUAUCUCAGCUCCCUCAUGUCCCCUUACCUUUCUUCCUUCCUUCUGCUUUUUCCUUCCCCUUUCCCUGAAUUUUUAUGGCCCUGUUGCGCUAGUAACCUGGGUCGUGCCCCAGUAUCUCAGCACCUUGAUAAGAAAGUGCCAACUAUUACAGAAGGAAAGCCCUGGGCCUGUCUUGGUCCCUGA